AGACGAACCGUCCAAACGUUAUUCGGUAUCACUGGGCUUAAAGAGUUCGUAGGCGGCCUGGUAGGUGAGAUGUGAAAUCCCACGGCUCAACCGUGGAACUGCGUUUCAAACCACCAGGCUUGAGGGAGAUAGAGGUGAGCGGAACAGAUGGUGGAGCGGUGAAAUGCGUUGAUAUUAUCUGGAACACCGGUGGCGAAAGCGGCUCACUGGAUCUCUUCUGACGCUGAGGAACGAAAGCUAGGGUAGCGAACGGGAUUAGAAACCCCAGUAGUCC
rnacentral:rRNA from 1 species